rnacentral:lncRNA from 10 species
UGGAAAUCACAUGCUGUCAUUUCUGCGAUCGGUCAUAACCAGUCCUGAUUCCAUGUUAGAGGAGACUACAUAAGGACACAGGUACCAGAAGCUGGAUCCACUGACCUGGAAUGCCUGGACUGAAGCAGGAGACUAACCAGCAUGGGCUACAUCAAAAAGGCUGCCAUCUACUUUCUGCUGGGUAGGGGCACCAGAGAGACUUGUCAGAAACUAGAAGGAAGGUAGAGUGCGAAAUCUGAGUGUUAAUUCCCUGGCUUCAUCAAAGGACACUGGUCUUCACAAGGAAACAGACUACAUGAUUCUCCUUUUGGGCUUCAGUAAAAACCCCCUCCUUUCAUCCCUUAGUCUAGGGAUGGUAAGAGGUCAGCAGCUAAGAAUUCUAGGUUCUUUGUGGUUUUCCCGUAUACAUGUCUUUGAUGAUAGCCCCUUUGGAAAUAAAUUCUCCUAGACUUUUUUUUAGGGUGAUUGGGUCAUUGUUUUUUCUCCUGGAACCCUGAGUCCUCAAAUCAACCCUAUCUGAAAUGUGCCAUUAUUGCUACAUUUUAUAAUAGAGGAAGACAGAUGGCUUAUAUAAUUUGAUGAAGAUCACAUGUUUUGUAAGAAGAGCUGGGAUUGGAACUGUAGCAGUCUAGCUUUUCAGAUCAUGCUCUUAAUCACCACAAUAAGUAUCAAUAAGUGUCAAUAAUCACUAUAAUAAGUGGCAUUGUAGCAUAAUGACACUCUACUUAGAGCAAUAGCUUAGUUCAAGUCAUCUUUUCCUAUGAAACUUUCCAUUUAUUUGACUAUUACUGUUUCAUAGAACCUACCCCUCAAGUUUAUUGAGGGUCAUACUUAAAUUUUCUAUGCUUAUGCUCUUUUUUAAUACUCACAGAAAGAGUGUACCUAUCUAGGGGGCAGAGACUACAGGUUCAGUUUUUUAACCCACGGCAAGUAGUCCUAUCCUGAGAACAUGGUACA